GGUGAACGCUGGCGGCGUGCUUAAGACAUGCAGGUCGAACGGCAGUCUUCGGACUGUAGUGGCGCACGGGUGAGUAACGCGUAACUGACCUACCCCAAAGUCGCGGAUAACGAUUCGAAAGAAUCGCUAAUACGUGAUGUGCUGUCAGAUUGUGUUCUGCCAGUAAAGAUUGAUUGCUUUGGGAUGGGGUUGCGUUCCAUCAGCUAGUUGGUGGGGUAAAGGCCCACCAAGGCGACGACGGAUAGCCGGCCUGGGGGGGUGACGGGCCACAGGGGCACUGAGACACGGGUCCCACUCCUACGGGAGGCAGCAGUUAGGAAUCUUCCACGAUGGGCGAAAGCCUGAUGGAGCGACGCCGCGUGAGGGAUGAAGGUCUUCGGAUCGUAAACCUCUGAAUCAGGGACGAAAGACACUUCGGUGGGAUGACGGUACCUGAGUAAUAGCACCGGCUAACUCCGUGCCAGCAGCCGCCGUAAGAC
rnacentral:rRNA from 1 species